rnacentral:lncRNA from 1 species
UUCGCCCAAAAAUAUCACUUUCAUCUCUCUCCUCCCUCACUUUCAAGUAAUAUCUCUCGAUCAUACUAUCCCUCUCUUCUCCUCUCAUCUUUUCAUUCAACGCAUUUCAUUCUUUUUUUUAAUACUCCCUUUAUUUUUUUUAUUUUUUUACUUUCCUUUCGAAUUUUAUAAUAAAAAAAUUCAUAAAAUUUUAUAACCGCUUUUAAAAUUUCUUUUAAACCCCUUAUUCUUUUUUUUCUUUUUACUUUCACUGCUGAAAUUUUUAUCUAAAAAAAAUCGAUAAAAAUUUUAAAUUUCUUUUACUCCCCAUCUUUAUGUUUUUUAUAAAAAAAUAUAUUAAUCAAUAUUUUUAAUUUUUUUAAUUUUUGAUGGUGAUAGUUAUCUGUUAUAUAUUUUUCGAAAGUGAAAGUAAAAAAAAAAAAAAAAUCAAGAUGUAUUAAAAAAAAGAAAGAUAUUAAAAAAAAAUAAAGAAUUGAAUGACAAAAUUGGUACGUUGAAGAAGAAUUGAGGGUAAAAGUUUUAAAAGUCCAAAAAAAAUUACAUCAAGAGGGUGGGAUGUCAGAGAGUGAGAAAAACAGCUCUCUUAUAUUAUUUAGAUUGUAUUAAGUUAGUUUACAUAGUUAAUUUUCUGUAAAGUAACUGAGCGCUACCUUAUUUGUGAUUGUUUUUUUAUUUUUUUUAUUUUUAUUCAUUCUUCUGUCGAUGAGCAAUCAUCAAAAUCGAUUAAUAUAUAUAUAAUCUAUAUAUAUAUAUAUAUGUUUUUUGCGUGUACUCGCGGCACGACAAUUACUAGUAUAUAUAUAUAUAUAUAGAUAUAAUUAGUAAUAUAUAUAUAUAUAUAUAUAUAUAUAUAUCUAUAUAUAUAGGGGUUUUGAAAAAAAAAAAUUUCUACAGUGCUUUUUUAUUUCGACACUCUAAAUUUUGUCUUUAUUAAGUAAACUAUAAAUGUACCCAAAAGUUCCAAUAUAUAUAUAUAUAUAUCUAUAUAUUAUAUAUUAUAUAUAUAUAUAUAUAUAUAUAUAUAUAUAUUAUAUAUAUAUAUAAUAUAUAUAUAUGUCGCACUAAUUAAGAUUCCUGAUCUCGUCCGAAAAAGGUGUUAUCUAAGGAUUACCUUAUUCUACACAAAAAAAAGGGGUAAUUUCACUGAUCUCCUCUAGGUUUCAAAAAAUAUAAAUAUCUCCCUUGUAAUUUCUAAAAUAACACUAAUAUUUUUUAUUUUUAAAAUUAUUAUCAAGAUCCACCCAAGAGCUAAAUUUCUGUCAAAAAAGUAACAAACUUAAUUGCCUUUAGAUUUAGUGCUUCUAAUUUUUUUUAAUACACCUAUUAAAAUAAAUAAAUAUUAUCUCUUUUUUGUUUAAAACAAAAUAAAGUUUAUUUUUUUAAGUAUGUUUAGAUUAAGAACACAUAAAAAGUAAAAUAUUUUAAUCAAUUAUUUUUUUAUAAAAUUCUUAUUGAUAACAAAAUGUUAUUUUUUAAGUAUAUUUUAAUUAUGAGUAGUUAAACAGUAAACUAUUUAAUUAUUUUUUUUUGAAAAAAUUGCUCAAUCAUGAAAAAUAAAAAUAGAGUAGUUAAUAAAUUGUAUUUUGAGAGAAAAAGAUAAUAUUUAUUUACUUUAAUAGGUCUAUUAACCAAAAAAAUUUGUAACCCUUAAAUCUAAGGUAAAGUUUGUCAUUUUACAUAAUAUCUAAUAAAAUAUUAAUAAUAGUUCUAGAAGUAAGACAGAUCAGUAUUAUUUUUAAAAUUACACGUGAUGUGAUUGUAUUUUUCAGAAUCCUAAAGUCAGUGAAAUUUGUACAAAAAAAUUAAAACUUACACCCUCCAACUUUUAUCCUUAUUCCACUUUCAUCAAUCACGUUUUAAUUUAAAUAUAUUAAACUUUAAACUUUGAAAUCAGUUGUAAUGUGGACUCUCCAUCCACUUCUAUUAGAAUUUAUCGACUGAAAUAGCCAUGUACCAAAUAUAUGACCAUAUCAAAGUUUUUAAAUUAUUAUAAACAUAACAUUCUUUUUGUCAUUAGUGAAUUUUUUUUCUAUUUUUUCCAAAUUAUUUUUUAACUAAUUUGGAUAAAGUUCACUAAAAACGAAAAAAAUAUGUUUAUCAUAAAAGAAAUCUAAAAUAUCAUUUUUUUCACUCUGUAUAAGUCAUAUGCAUGGUACAUAGUUAUUUUCAUUCUCAGAUUCUAACGGACGUAGCGGAGAGGGUCUAUAUUGCAAAUGUUUCCGAAAUUAAUGGUUAAAUAUGUUCAAAUUAAAACAUUAAAGACAAAAGUAGAAUGUAAAGGAUAGUUCGAGGGUAUAAAAUAAAAUUUACCAUUCAUAGAAUUCCAUAUCGUCCUAGAAUUCUUCUCUGAUACAUUACCCGCAUUGUCGCACCUACAAGUAGCAGAAUUCAAUUCAAUCAAGGCAACCAAUAAUGCUAUCCAUCUCUGUUUUUUCUCUUUAGCUAAUUUAUUAACGUAUUGUUUUGUAAUUGGGAGCUCAACAAUGGCCUCUUCUUCCUC